rnacentral:rRNA from 1 species
UAAAAUAAUUAAGGGCACACAAAGGAUGCCUAGGUAGUAAGAGCCGAUGAAGGACGUGGUAAGCUGCGAUAAGCCUAGAUAAGUUGCAAUCGAACGUAAGAGUCUAGGAUUUCCGAAUGGAGCAAUCUAUUAAGAUGGAGUCUUAAUACGAAAGAGGGAACCGCGUGAACUGAAACAUCUAAGUAACGCGAGGAAAAGAAAGUAAAAACGAUACCCAAAGUAGCGGCGAGCGAAAUGGGUCAAGCCUAAACCUUAAAUAUGUCAAGGAUACAGCCGUUGUAUUUAAGGGGUUGAGGGACAGAGUGAUGAAGAACUGUAAGAUAUUCAAUAUAGUGUAUUGAUGAAUUAGAAUUGUCUGGAAAGGUGAACCGCAGAAGGUGAAAGUCCUGUAUAAGUAAAUCCUUACACAUAUAACUUUGCUCCCAAGUAACAUGGAACACGAGGAAUUCUGUGUGAAUCUGUGAGGACCAUAUCUCAUAAGGCUAAAUACUCUUACUAACCGAUAGCGCAUAGUACCGUGAGGGAAAGGUGAAAAGAACCCCUGGAGGGGAGUGAAAUAGAACCUGAAAUUGUGUGCUUACAAGCGGUCAGAGCCCAUUUGGGUGAUGGCGUGCCUUUUGGAGAAUGAUCCUGCGAGUUACGUUAAACGGCGAGGUUAAGUAUAACGGAGCCGAAGGGAAACCAAGUCUUAAUAGGGCGAUUUAGUCGUUUGGCGUAGACGCGAAACCUGGUGAUCUAAACCUGUCCAGGAUGAAGCUGUGGUAAGACACAGUGGAGGUCCUAACCCACCGCCGUUGAAAAGUUGGGGGAUGAGGUAGGUUUAGGGGUGAAAAGCCAAUCGAACCAGGAGAUAGCUCGUUCUCUCCGAAAUGCAUCUAGGUGCAGCCUUGAGUGUUCAAUUAUGGGGGUAGAGCACUGAAUGAUCUAGGGGGCAUAUUGCUUACUGAAAUCAAUCAAACUCCGAAUACCAUAAUUUAUAGCUCAGGAGUGAGACUAUGGGAGUUAACUUCCAUUGUCAAAAGGGAAACAACCCAGACCACCAGCUAAGGUCCCUAAUUAUAACUAAGUGGGAAAGGAGGUGGAGAUUCACAAACAACUAGGAGGUUGGCUUAGAAGCAGCCAUACCUUUAAAGAGUGCGUAAUAGCUCACUAGUCGAGAGUCUCUGCGCCGACAAUGUAACGGGGCUAAGUUAUAAACCGAAGCUGUGGAAUCCGUAAGGAUUGGUAGGAGAGCGUUCUGUAGGCCGUUGAAGAAGAAGGGUAACCGACUUUGGAGGUAUCAGAAGUGAGAAUGCAGGAAUAAGUAGCGAGAAAGGGGGCGAGAAUCCCCCUCGCCGGAAGACCAAGGUUUUCAGGGUAAAGCUUGUCUUCCCUGAGUAAGCCGGGACCUAAGCCCAGGCUAUAAUGCGUAGGCGAAUGGAAAACAGAUUAAUAUUUCUGUGCCAGUCAUUUAUUGUGAUGGAGGGACGCAGAAGGGUAUGCGCGCGGACGAUCGGUUGUGUCCGUAGAAGUAUGUAGGGUGACUUAGUAGGUAAAUCCAUUAAGUUAUAUCUGAGGUAUGAUAUACAGUCGUAAGAUGAAUGCGCAAAUCCCACGCUGCCAAGAAAAGCUUCUAACGUUAAUAUAUGACUGCCCGUACUGUAAACCGACACAGGUGGUCAGGAUGAGAAAUCUAAGGCGGACAGGCUAACUCUCGUUAAGGAACUCUGCAAAAUAACCUCGUAACUUCGGGAGAAGAGGAGCCCUUGGGUGUUAGUAUCCAUGCGAUACAAAGCGCUCGAGGGUCGCAGUGAAGAGGCUCAAGCAACUGUUUAACAAAAACACAGGUCUAUGCUAAGCUGGAAGGCGAUGUAUAUGGGCUGACACCUGCCCAGUGCUGGAAGGUUAAGAGGAGGAGUGAGAGCUCCGAAUUGAAGCCCCAGUGAACGGCGGCCGUAACUAUAACGGUCCUAAGGUAGCGAAAUUCCUUGUCGGGUAAG